rnacentral:rRNA from 1 species
GACGAACGCUGGCGGUGUGCUUAACACAUGCAAGUGGUGCGACGAACCAGAGCUUGCUCUGGGGCAAAGCCGCGAACGGGUGAGUAACACGUGGGUAAUCUACCCCGAUGACCGGGACAACCCGAGGAAACUCGGGCUAAUACCGGAUGUGGUACGGAGACAUAAGUCUCUUUACUAAAGGUAGCUUCGGCUUCCGCAUUGGGAGGGGCCCGCGGCCCAUUAGCUAGUUGGUGGGGUCAAGGCCUACCAAGGCAACGAUGGGUAGCUGGUCUGAGAGGACGAUCAGCCACACUGGGACUGAGACACGGCCCAGACUCCUACGGGAGGCAGCAGUGGGGAAUCUUGCGCAAUGCGCGAAAGCGUGACGCAGCAACACCGCGUGAGGGAAGACGGCCUUAGGGUUGUAAACCUCUUUCAGAUGGGACGAAGGUGAUGCGGUGAAUAGCCGAUGUCAUUGACGGUACCGUCAGAAGAGGCUCCGGCUAACUACGUGCCAGCAGCCGCGGUAA